GUUCAUUCAUCAUCGUUUCCUCCGUCCAUUUCAACAACCUCAUAAACCCCACUUCGCCGCCUCCGCCUUCGCCACCGCCACUUCAGGAAAAUGGCAGCCGCCACCGCUUCGUUUGCCUUCUCAAGACUCCUCUCCUCCGCCACCAAACCCCACCUCACCUCCGCCUCCACCUCUCUACUCCCUGCCAACCACCGCUCUCUCGCCUUCUCUUCCUCCAUUUCUCCCCUUCGCAUCAAAAACCUCGGACUCACCCACCGUCACGCCAUCAGAUACUCCACCACCCCCAAAGUCUCCGCCACCAUCUCCGUCGGAGACAAACU
rnacentral:lncRNA from 1 species